rnacentral:rRNA from 1 species
CCUACGGGAGGCAGCAGUGGGGAAUAUUGCACAAUGGGGGAAACCCUGAUGCAGCGACGCCGCGUGAGUGAAGAAGUAUUUCGGUAUGUAAAGCUCUAUCAGCAGGGAAGAAAAUGACGGUACCUGAUUAAGCAUCCCCGGCCACCUACGUGCCAGCAGCCGCGUUAAUACGGGGGAUGCGAGCGUUAUCCGGUUUUAUUGGGUUAAACGUGGGCGCAGGCGGAAGAUAAAGUCAGCGGUAAAAUUGAGAGGCUCAACCUCUUCGAGCCGUUGAAACUGGUUUUCUUGAGUGAGCGAGAGGUAUGCGGAAUGCGUGGUGUAGCGGUGAAAUGCAUAGAUAUCACGCAGAACUCCGAUUGCGAAGGCAGCAUACCGGCGCUCAACUGACGCUCAUGCACGAAAGUGUGGGUAGCGAACAGGAUUAGAUACCCCGGUAGUC